GGAGGGUUACUCAAGUGGCUCAAGAGGACGGUUUGCUAAACCGUUAGCAGUCGUAAGGCUGGCGCAGGUUCAAAUCCUGUACCCUCCGCCA
rnacentral:tRNA from 1 species